ensembl:lncRNA
AGUUAUUUGUACAUAUGUUGAAAACUAUGUUAAAAGGCAGGGGAAUUCAUGUAAAUAAGUUACAGCUAGAAAAGUUUUUACUUUUUAUAAAAGAAGUUUGUCCUUGGUUUCCAGAGAAAAGAACAGUUAAUCUGGAAACUUGAAAAAAAGUAGGAAAACAAUUGCAGACAUAUUAUUCCUUACAUGGUCCCAAUCGUGUCCCUGUAGAUACUUUUUCUUUGUGGACUCUCAUAAGAGACUGUCUGGAUCUUAAACAUGAGGGACGUAAGAUUCAAAUGGCCCUCUGGGAUUCCACAAAACCCGAAGUUGCAGAGCCUUCUGCCCCUCCGCCUGAGCCGCUUUAUGCCGUGCCUGAGGGAACAGCUUGUAAGGCUGGAGGGAAUGAUGAUGUGUUAAGCUCUGAUGAACAGAAAGAGUUCAAUGAACAAGCGGCUCAGUACCAUAGAGAGGAUAUGCCUUGGGAGAUGAUGGUUAGCAUACAAUCCCCCUCAGGAAAAGGGGAAUUAAAACAUUCAGGGCUUUCCGAAGAACAGCUGGAAAAUUUAAUUCAAAAAAUUGUUAUAACAGUAAAGAAGGAUGCACAGGGAGACUCCCACUUCAGCCAGCCUAUGCCUCCAACAUAUCCUCCCUCAGUUCUUGCUGGGCUCAAUCCACCUGCACCUUUCGUAGAACCACGAGAGCCUGUAACUAUCCCUGCUUCUUUGCCCGGUGAUAACAUAAAAAUUAAAAGUGAGAUAUUAUUAUCUCCUCUUCAACACGUGAUUAAGCGAGCUAAUGAUGAAGGAGAACAUAUUCCCGGGUUUUCAAGAAUCUAUCCAGUAUUUGAAAAUGCUCAACAGCAGAGGUAUUAUGAGCCGCUACCCUUUAAACAACUAAAAGAGUUAAAAAUGGCUUGUACACAAUACGGCCCGACUGCGACAUUUACUCAGGCUAUUAUAGAGGCUUUAAGAAAUCAAAAUCUGCCACCUAAUGAUUGAAAACAGGUUGCUCGGGCUUGUUUAUCUGGAAGAGAUUAUUUACUAUAGAAAUCUGAGUUUGCUGAACAGUGUGGGAUCACAGCUGAUAUCAAUCAGCGACAGGGACUGAACACCGCUUAUGAAAUGAUGGUGGGAGAGGAAGAUUAUCGAGACAUUAAUAAUCAACUUAAUUAUUUGCCUAGAGCCUACCCUCAGAUUAGUGCUGCGGCUCUACGAGCAUGAAAUAAACUUCCAAAUUCUGAUAAAAAGACUAAAGAUUUAUCUAAAAUUCGCCAGGGGCCAGAUAAACCAUAUCAAGAUUUUGUUGCCCGCCUGCUUGAGACAAUUGGUAAAAUGAUAGGAGAUGAACAGGCGGGAAUAGUGUUGGCUAAACAGCUUGCUUAUGAGAAUGCCAAUUCGGCUUGUCAAGCUGCCCUGAGACCUUACAGAAAAAAGGGAGGCUUAUCCGAUUAUGUACGGAUUUGUGCUGAUAUCGGCCCUUCGUACGUUCAAGACAUAACUUUGGCCACGACAUUACAAGGGUUAUUGCCUUAGCUGGUUUUAGUAGACGGCUUGAUAAUCAUCAUUAUCUCUCGGAUAAAAUUUUACAAUUUGCUCACUAUCACCAAUUUCUCUUCCCAAAAAUCAUUGUUUCUCAGCCCCUUGCCGACGCCCUAACUGUAUUUACUGAUGGCUCUUCUAAUAGAAUAGCUAGUUUGAUUAUACAGGACAAUAUUGCCACCUGGCGUACUAAUUAUAAGUCUGCUCAAGAAGUAAAACUAUUUGCCAUUUUUCAGGCUCUAUUACAAAUCUCUGCUCCAUUUAAUUUAUAUUCUGACGGUCAAUAUAUCAUAAGAGCCUUAAAGACUAUUGAGACUGUUCCAUUUAUUGGUACCCUGAAUUCUACUAUCCAAACUCUUUUUCGUGAUAUACAACAUUUAAUUUGCCCCAGAGUUAAUAAAUGCUAUUUCGGUCAUAUUCGUACUCACUCUAGACUUCCUAGACCUUUAACAGGAGACAAUGCUUUGACUGACGAAGCUACAUGUAUGAUAUUUCCUUAAUUGGAACAAAUGGCAAAAACUUCUCACAGCUUACACCAUCAAAACAGCAAUAGCUUAAGACUUCAAUCUGACAUUACUCAAAAAGCUACCAGACAGAUUGUUAAACAAUGUCAAACAUGUCCUCAAUUUUUUAGUGUCCCCCAUUAUGGAGUUAAUCCCCGAAGAUUGCUGCCAAACGAUAUAUGACAAAUAGAUGUUACCCAUAUUCCUAAAUUUGAUAAACAAAAAUUUGUUCAUGUUACUAUUGACACCUUCUCUGGCUUUUUACAUACCUCUCUACAAUCCGGAGAAGCUAGCAAACAUUGUAUAGCUCAUUACAUUAAAUGUUUUGCUGUUAUGGGAACCCCUAAGACCAUAAAAACAGACAAUGGUCCAAGAUACACUGGAAAAUAUUUUCAACUAUUUUGUACACAAUUGUCUAUCUCACAUAAAACAGGUAUCCCUUAUAAUCCUCAAGGUCAAGAAAUCAUUGAACAGACACAUCAAACUCUCAAACAUCAAUUACAAAAACUAUAGAAGGGGAAAUUGUAUCUCAAUACCCCCUCCAACUCUCUAAACCAUGCUUUAUUUGUUCUAAAUUUUUAUAAUUAGACAUAAGUGGCUGUUCAACAGCACAGCGAUUUUGGAACUUUGAUACACAAACAAUAAGACCUAAAGUCUUUUGGAAAGACCCACUUGUGGAAAAAUGGUAUGGACCAGAUCCAGUACUAAUUUGGAGACGAGGACAUGUUUAUAUUUUCCCACAAGAUGCCAAAGCGCCGCGCUGGCUGCCAAAAAGGUUGGUAUGCACGGCGGAGAUGAUCGCUAGUAAACCAGAUGAAAAGACUGACGAUUCAAGAACAUGAUAAAUUACCAUCUCGGCAACAACUUCAGACAUUGAUGCGAGAGGCACAAAAUCGUGUUGCUGUGCAGGGCGAUCUGAUAUCACCUUUAAGCUUCCUGAUAACCUUAUUAAUUAUCUUAAAUCAGAUUAAUACUACACAUUCUGAAAAAUAUUCAAGUGCUUACUGGGCUUAUUUUCCCGACCCUCCCCUUCUCC